GAAGUUGGAUUCGCUAGUAAUCGCGCAUCAGCCAUGGCGCGGUGAAUACGUUCCCGGGCCUUGUACACACCGCCCGUCAAGCCAUGGGAGCCGGGGGCGCCUGAAGUCCGGGACCGCGAGGACCGGCCUAGGGCGAAACUGGUAACUGGGGCUAAGUCGUAACAAGGUAAC
rnacentral:rRNA from 1 species